UCCAAAUUUCUAUUUAGAAUUACCUAAAUGGUUUGUCGUUGUUAUUGGUACAACAGCAUUUUUAAAAGGGCUCUUUGGUCAGUCCAUUAUUCAUACAUUAAACAAAAUAAAUUAAUGGCUAAAAAGUAAAAAGGUGCAUUUAAAACCAAAAACAAUAUAUAUAUAUAUAAACACACAUACAUAUGUGAAAACAUAAAAGACAAAAAGCUUAUACCACGUGUAAAGUAAUCUUGAUCAUAAAAAACCUUGUUGAACCCUGUAUCUUUCAGGUUUAAGUUUACUAGAAAACAAAGAGGAUCCACUUGAAGUCUGGCGACAGAAAUUCUGGACCGCUUACAAGGCUGGGGUGAUUUAUUGGUCAGCAAUGCAAGGCAUCAACUUCGUAUUCGUUCCUCCUGUGGCACGGACAGUCUUCCUAGGAGGCGUUGCUCUGACGUUCACAAUCUUUCUUUGCCACUUCAAACAGCAGCAGAAUCAGUGACCCCAACAAGCCACACAAACUCCUGAUACAAGGUUUAGAUCUGGUCCCUUUGAUUGAUCAGAUCUCAAAAAAGAAAAAAAAGCGGUUGAUUUGUGUACAUCAUAUAAUGUAUUAAACUUUGUUGCAUUUCUGAAAGUGUAAAAUGUCUGACUUUAUUUAAAGUGUACAAAAUUUCGUUUUUGAGCAAUAAAGGAAGGUAUGAACCCCUCCACUAUUAAACAAAUCAUAAAUCCACAAAAGGUCUGGAUUGAUCAUUUUGCAUAAGAAGUUUUUUGUAUAAUAUUUUCUCCCAACAACACAAUACAUGUUUAAUAAAAUGAAGUUAAAUCAUAUCCCACGCCAUCCUGGAGAGACCUAUUAGCUUUGCCAAUUUUAUUGACAUUUCCUUCGUUUUUAAGUAAUAAAAUAAUUUGUUUAUUCAAUUCAUAAAAACAAUUAACGUCGUGCAAAAGAAACAUGACCAACAGACAAAUACAAUUCUCUUUAAUACUGACCAUAAAAUACUCUUUUCUGUUUCACUAAAAUUGGGGUUCAAACUUAAUACUUAGCUCUGUGUUUGUCACAGUUUAUUUAAUGUUCUUUUAUCUAUUUUCCUUUUUUGAUUUUCCUUUUUGCUGAAAAAGCAUGUGCAUCUCUGUGAAGAACGUUGAACUGUCUGUAUGUAAGAAAAAAGUAAAGAAAUAAAGAUGCAGUGACUUUGCCACAGUUUGUUUAAAUAAAUAAAAAUCUAACACUGUAGUUGACCUUAUUGCCAGAAGUUAGAUGUGAAGUAUAGAACAAAG
rnacentral:lncRNA from 1 species